GUGAUGCCAUUGCUCUUCAUUCUGAAUCUGCCAACUUCUUACACUGAAAAGGUAGCUGCUCUGAAGUGGAAGCUAAUGAAGUUGACGAUAUUGCCCACUCAUCGGAGCGAACAACUGAAAGAGCUGCAACACCUACUGGAUCAGAGCCCCAGUUUUGACAUGUGUCACGUCUUCACGCUUGGACGUUCCAAGAUAGUCCAUAUCUUCUCUUUUGUGGCAACGUACGUUGUGAUCUUCAUG